rnacentral:rRNA from 1 species
UACGGAGGAGGCAAGCGUUGUUCGGAAUUAUUGGGCGUAAAGGGCUCGUAGGCGGACCAGCAAGUCUGGUGUGAAAUCUCCACCGCUCACCGGGGAGAGGUCACUGGAAACUGCUGGUCUGGAGUUUGACAGAGGGUCGUGGAAUUCCAGGUGUAGCGGUGGAAUGCGUAGAUAUCUGGAAGAACACCGGUGGCGAAGGCGGCGACCUGGGUCAAAACUGACGCUGAGGAGCGAAAGCCAGGGGAGCAAACGGGCUUAGAUACCCCGGUAGUCCUGGCUGUAAACGGUGGAUACUAGGUGUGGGGGGUAUCGACCCCCUCCGUGCCGAAGCUAACGUAUUAAGUAUCCCGCCUGGGGAGUACGGCCGCAAGGUUG